GCAGAAGACAAGAACAGACAUGUCUCCAAAGAAGCCAUCCAGAUGACCAGCAGACACAUGAAAAGACGCUCCACAUCCCUCAUCAUCGGGGAAAAUCAAAUCAAAAUCAUAAU